GAGGGUAUAGCUCAGUGGUAGAACAUGUGCUUAGCAUGCACAAGGAACUGGGUUCAAUCCCCAGUAACUCCA
rnacentral:tRNA from 1 species